UGUUCGUCAUUGAUCACCUGAAGCUUUUGUACAUCAGACAGACGAUGGACCUAUGGCUUGCACAUUUUGUUUUGACAAAUUGUUGAGGCAUUAAGCAAUGCAUAUUUUGUCCAUGAUUACUCUGAGCCGCCGAAGCUCACCAAGUUUAAUGAGAGGUGAUGGAGCGGUGAACGCGGAGAUGCGCACGCGGAGAGGUGAUGGAGCAGUGAACAAACAACUAACACAAAAUGAAAUUAAGUCAUGGUUGGGGCGAGAUUGAGCAGCGAAUUUUCUACUGGCGGAACAAUUUCAAGAUGCUAAAUGUUUGGUUCUUAUAAUAUCCGAUGACUUGCUCUGGUUGGUGUCGCUCUUUCAUUAUUAGGUACGUUCCCUCAGUUACCUUGCUUCUUUUGCCUACUGUUUACUUUUCAGUUUAUGUGUGUUUUUCCGUAGGAAUGCUGCAGUGUUUGGGACUUGAGAACGUAGCACAAAAACCAUGUUCUCCUUGGGAUUUAUGAAUAAUAAUGUUGCUGUCAUUUUUCUUCGUCUGCAAUUUGAAUUGGUCUAUGCUCAUUUAAACUGAAAUGUUGUCUCUGGAUUCUAUUGUAAGAAAGCUACUAUGAUAUACCUAUGUCUAACUUGGUCUUGAAAUCUUAGUAUGGUGCAGAGUGUAACUAUGGAAAGCAGUAGAAAAGAAUCCUAAUGGUUAGAAAAUAAUAUUGCAUGAUAUGGUGUUGCACUAAGCUAAAAUUCUUUGUAUGAGUCAAGAAGAAACCUCAUUUGUUUCGCUGCCCUAUAUAGUGCUGGUUCUAACUUCUAAGGAGCUAAAACGAGAAUAAAAUCAUCCUUCCAAGACAAAGAAGAGUUUGAUUGUGCACGUUGGACUGUUGAUUUUCCAUGUCUUUUUCGCUCUUAAUAAUGCUAUGUGUAAGAAUACAAAUUAUUGCUGGCUUGGAGUUUCUGCCCAGCCUCAUUGAGAUGCAUGGAAUUCAUUGGUAUUCCAAUUUAUUUGCAUAGGAUGCCCUGAGCGCAAUUGGUGUUCGAUUUUGUUUGCAUCAGAUGCUGUGAGUGCAUCAAUAUUAUACGAUUCUAGACUCCCUUGUUAUUCUCUUAUUGAAAGUGCAGUAGCUUAUACAAGUUGCAAGCCGAUCUCUUUUAUUCUUCUUGCAUGUCUCAUAUUCUUAUUUUGAUAGUGAAGUACCUCAUGUUAGUCGGAAGCUAAUUUCUUUAGGUCUGCUUGCAGGUCUUUUAUUGAAAGUGCAGAAGCUCAUAUAAGUCUCUGAAUUUUAGAAGUAGUCAGUGUUCAAGUUCUUAUGAUCUUAUUCUAACAAAGAUGAUGUUUCUCUUACAGAUGUAGUCAUCUUUGUUUCACAGUUGGAUUUCACAUAAAGUGUCUUACAAAUAACAAGUAACACCUGAAUGGAGCGAAGGGAAGAGGAAACAUAUAUUCUCAUGUGGGACUUUUUACUGAUCUCACACCUGCAUACUACAUUUAUUUGUUUGUAUUUACAAUACUGGCUAUUUAGUGCAAACCUUUUUUGCAUGCAUGAGCUAAUCCUUAUACAAAAGUGAUUUGGGGUUGGUAUUUAGUCUGCUUCAUUGAUGUUGGAAAGUCCUUUAUGCUUAAAUCUAACUUCUCUUAUUAAUUUUCCUUCAGAGCUUUCGUUACCACAAAGUUUGAUCAUUCUGGAGCUUAUUUUUAGUCGUGUUACAUGGUUCUAAAUAAAAGAGAAAGGAUCAUUUAGAUUGGCUUGCACGGUUCUCUUAUAAAUCUACGUUAUUGCAAGCUUACGGUGUUUUUUUGUUUUGUUUUGUUGAUUUCUCUUUGGAUUACCAUAUGUUCCAUGACCGUUCUCUCUAUUACUACCCGUCCCUACCGAUUUAUGUGGUUAUUGCAAACUUGCAACAAUGGGGAGAGUGUGCAUAAGAUUUUGAAUCGUACAGUAUUUAUUAUCUAAAUUUAGUGUUUACACAACCUAAUAUUCACAUUGGCACAAGAACAUUGGCCUUCAAGAGCAUGUCUUUCAAGAACUCGAUUCAAAGGUCAUGACUGAUUUUGGUUCCACAGCUCGAUUCAAAGGACGUAAAAUGUCUAAGGUUGCAGGUGAUGUUUGAUUCUAAGAUUAUGCCACUUCUAUUGGUCCAUCUCUGGGUGCGCCGCUUUGGUUUACUGGUUCGUUACAAGGUGCUUCUGCUGGAUUAUCUUCAGAUGGGCCUUAUGGGUCUGCUCUGCUACCACAUUUCUGAAAUUGACAUAUUGGGAUAAGUAGAAGAUUUAGACAUUAGUGCAUCUAUUAGAUCUACGAGUCCGUAGUGCAUUUGGUUGAAUUGCUGCAUUUCACCAAAACUGCUUGACAUGGUGGCUAUUUGCAGAUACUCUUCAGCAUUAAUUUUGCACCCUAAGUCUGAUACCUACUUUGCAUCCCUCCCGCAUGUAUGUGUGUUAAUUGAAGAAAAUGUGUAUGUUCGUGUACCGUUCAAGCGGUUAAAUAGUAGUCCAUUCAUAUUGCACUUUACCUAGGACUAUUCCUUAAUAAGGUAAGCUUACAACAAGGAUGAUAAAAAGAUGUCACGUUAUUCCUAUGACUAUUCUGGGAAGUUGAUUUUAUCUUGAACAGCUAAAAUCAACUAGCAUAGUUAUCUGAAUUUGGAUCUCUAGCUUUAAAUCUAAUAAUUACUUCAUUUUGGACUGCUGAACUUUAAGCAAAGUAGCUAGAAGAGUUAAUGUUCUAUUUUUUGCAGUACGUAUAAAUCUCUUGAUCACUUACACUAUCUAUUAACUGUUAAAAUUUGAUAUGUCUGGGUAAUUAUCUUUUAUCAAGAUUGGUUUCUCCUUUAAAAAUUUCACUUGGAGAGGAGGUAUGGGCCAGAAGAAAUCCCAGACUACAUGUAUUCGCUUAUAAAGUAGUGGCUUUGUACUGAAGAAUUACUUAGCUAUUCAUGUAUUGAAUAUAAUCUGUGCUCUCCUUUUAUAAAAAAGGCAAUGCGACAAUUGUAACACUAGAUAAACUUUUAGAUCCUGAAGGUUGAUGGGAUGUAUCAAGUGAAGAAAAUAUAUUUGAUUCUUCUUUCAGCUAUGCUUACUUCUAGACUACCUUUUCUUGUAUCACUUCAUUACCAGGUAACUCGAAAGGAUAAAAACUGGUGCUGAAACUAUAUGUACUCUUUAUUUUGAGAUAUCUGAACAAGGUUGGAGCCAGGUCACAAAGUGUAUUGUGAUUUUUCAAUGUACAAAUUGACUGUCCAAAGUAGUGAUUUGAGCUAUUUGUAUAGUACAUCAUCUCUCUUAUCUUGAUUUACUCCAUUACCCAUGCAGAUUUUAGA